GGCCUGCAGUACAGCACUCUGUCACUGCUGUCACAGGCAAUGCAAGUCUUACCUGAAGCUGAGAUAAUGGCCACGAAGGCUGCAGCUUCCAGUCCUGAGGGCAGCCCCUGGGAAGUGGAAUGGAGCAUUUCCCCAGGCCCUGCCUUGAUUUUCAUGCAAGAAAGGCCAGCAUUUCCGUUUCCCCAGAUGCCAGCAGGCCAGGAGCUCCUCUGUACCCCUCCCUCUUCCUCCAGGUCUUGUCUCUUCUCAGAUGGGAACAGAUGCUGAAACACGCACACACACAUGCAUGCACAUGCACACACUCCCUCCAUGUCCUCCCCCAGAUCUUAUCUGCUCUGACCCUCUGGCCACCGCACAUGGAGAGAAGGUGUUCCACCUUUGGGCGUGGAGGGCAGGCACGAAGAAGACGUUUUCCUCUUCCCUCCUUACCAAGAGCAGUCUCUCAGCAACCCCGACAUAAUCCAAGUGCUUUGAGGGGAAAAGCAGCUCCUAUAGCUUUCUGGUCCCUCAUGGUGCCUUGGACAAGACGCGGCUACAUAAACAGCAUGUGAGAACUGGAAGGAACCUUAGAGGCUUGUGAUGGCAGGACCAUCGGGAGUUUACAGAGGAGGGACUGGGGCCCAGAGAGGAGUCUUCUCCAGCCGUCCGGCUGGUCUCCGGUGGAGCCUGGUCCAGGGCCCCGUCUCCAGUGGAGGUGUCGGGUAGCCAAAGCCCUAGGGAAGGGCUGCCUUUCCAGGAACACGUGUAAGCCCCCGGGAGCUUGUUACUUGACAAGAGCCUGGAGAAGCCAGUGACAGCUCCGAGGCCCACCUCUGCUCACCACAAGAUGGCAACAGAGCUUUGCAGGAGCCCCAGCUUGGGGGCUGGUGUCCAGCGCUCUCUGAGGACUGGACCUCACAUCCCUAACCCUGGUGGUCUGAGCACUCCUUCCAUAUCUUCAGGCCAGGCUGAGGGUUCCUUUGCUGUAGGCCUGCACAUGUCUCUCCUUGCUGUUUUAGUGCCUUCAACUCCAUGCUGACUUGCACCUGUUGACUGGUUCUGUCCCUUUUGGCUCUUCUGGUGAGGCAGGAGGACACAGUUCUACUCACAGGACUCUAACAAGGAGAAGAGUUUAAAGUGGCUUUUCCACCUGGAAGCAAUACUGCUUGAAUCGCGCACCCUUUCUCCAGCACUCACCAGGCCCCUUUCUCCCCUGCGCUCUUCAGCAUCCUUCCCAUGGAGCCAUGCCUGGCUGCGGUGGUCCCACUGGAGUGGCAGCUCUGGGAGGAGUCCGGGUCCUGGCAGGAGGUUGGCUCACUUAUAUAAAAAUGAACAUCUACCCAUCAGAAGCAUGGUUCAAGACCCUCUGCAUGCAGCCUGAAAGAUAGACUUCGGGGACGGCUCUGUGGUCAAGGGCAAACAUCAAAUGUAUUUUUUAUUGACUGUUUAAGGACAAAAACAAUGUGAGUGUAUAUACACAUUCAAUCCUCAUUAUUCACCAAUUCCGUAUGUAUGAAUUUGUCUACUCACUAAAAUUUGUUUGUAACCCACAAAUCAAUACACAUGGUGCUUUUGUAGUCAUUUGUAGACGUGGGCAGAGUGGCAAAAAAAUCUGAGUCGCCCAAUGGGCACACUCACAGCUGAGGUCAAACGAGGUGACGCUGGUUUCAGCUCUCACACUGUAAGCACUGUCCUCUUCCCCAUCUAUUUAGUGCCACGUUUUUUGCAUUUUUGUGUUUUUUGUUGGUGAUUUUGUUGUUUCAAAUGGCCCCCAAGCGUAGUGUUGAAAAGCUGUCUAGUGUUCUUAAGCCAAAGAAGGCUG
ensembl:lncRNA